rnacentral:rRNA from 1 species
CUACGGGCCGCUGCAGUGAGGAAUAUUGCACAAUGGGGGGAACCCUGAUGCAGCAACGCCGCGCGGAGGAUGACGCAUUUCGGUGUGUAAACUCCUUUUAUAUGUCAAGAAAAUGACGGUAGCAUAUGAAUAAGCACCGGCUAACUCCGUGCCAGCAGCCGCGGUAAUACGGAGGGUGCAAGCGUUACUCGGAAUCACUGGGCGUAAAGGACGCGUAGGCGGGUUGGAAAGUCAGGUGUGAAAUCCUACAGCUUAACUGUAGAACUGCACUUGAAACUUCUAAUCUAGAGUAUGGGAGGGGGAGAUGGAAUUAGUGGUGUAGGGGUAAGAUCCGUAGAUAUCACUAGGAAUACCUAAAGCGAAGGCGAUCUCCUGGAACAUUACUGACGCUAAGGCGUGAAAGCGUGGGGAGCAAACAGGAUUAGAUACCCCUGUAGUC